CAAGUCGAGCGGACAGAUGGGAGCUUGCUCCCUGAUGUUAGCGGCGGACGGGUGAGUAACACGUGGGUAACCUGCCUGUAAGACUGGGAUAACUCCGGGAAACCGGGGCUAAUACCGGAUGGUUGUUUGAACCGCAUGGUUCAGACAUAAAAGGUGGCUUCGGCUACCACUUACAGAUGGACCCGCGGCGCAUUAGCUAGUUGGUGAGGU
rnacentral:rRNA from 1 species